CCUACGGGCGGCAGCAGUCGAGAAUCAUUCACAAUGGGGGAAACCCUGAUGGUGCGACGCCGCGUGGGGGAAUGAAGGUCUUCGGAUUGUAAACCCCUGUCAUGUGGGAGCAAAUUAAAAAGAUAGUACCACAAGAGGAAGAGACGGCUAACCCUGUGCCAGCAGCCGCGGUAAUACAGAGGUCUCAAGCGGUGUUCGGAAUCACUGGGCGUAAAGGGUGCGUAGGCUGUUUCGUAAGUCGGGUGUGAAAGGCGCGGGCUCAACCCGCGGACGGCACAUGAUACUGGGAGACUAGAGUAAUGGAGGGGGAACCGGAAUGCUCGGUGUAGCAGUGAAAUGCGUAGAUAUCGAGAGGAACACUCGUGGCGAAGGCGGGUUCCUGGACAUUAACUGACGCUGAGGCACGAAGGCCAGGGGAGCGAAAGGGAUUAGAUACCCGAGUAGUC
rnacentral:rRNA from 1 species